rnacentral:rRNA from 1 species
UGAAUACGAGAUGCUACGGCGUCGAAGCAGUGUAUGUCAGACUUCCAAGAAAAGCUCGCAAUGUCAUAAAUAAAGAAUGCCUGUACCAUAACCGACACAGGUGGGUAGGUAGAGUAUACUAAGGGGCGCGAGAUAACUCUCUCUAAGGAACUCGGCAAAAUAACUCCGUAACUUCGGGAGAAGGUGUGCCUUCUUUAAGAAGGUUGCAAUAACAAGAUCCAAGCAACUGUUUAUCAAAAACACAGGUCUCCGCUAAGUCGUAAGACGAUGUAUGGGGGCUGACGCCUGCCCAGUGCCAGAAGGUUAAAGAAGUUGGUUAGCUUUUGCGAAGCUGAUGACUGAAGCCCUGGUGAACGGCGGCCGUAACAAUAACGGUCCUAAGGUAGCGAAAUUCCUUGUCGGGUAAGUUCCGACCCGCACGAAAGGCGUAAUGAUUUGGAUACUGUCUCGGAGAGGGACUCGGUGAAAUAGACUUGUCUGUGAAGAUGCGGACUACCUGCACCAGGACAGAAAGACCCUAUGAAGCUUUACUGUAACUUGAAAUUGAAAUUGGACUUUAUUUGCGCAGUAUAGGUGGAAGGCGUUGAAAGUAAUCUUGCGGGAUUAGUGGAGCCAUCAGUGAGAUACCACUCCUAUAAUGUUAGAUUUCUAACUUUGGAUCAUGAUCUGGUCAAAGAACAGUUUCAGGCGGGCAGUUUGACUGGGGCGGUCGCCUCCCAAAUGGUAACGGAGGCGUACAAAGGUUUCCUCUGAACGGGUAGAAAUCGUAUCUAGAGUGUAAGGGCAUAAGGAAGCUUGACUGUGAGACCUACAAGUCGAGCAGGGACGAAAGUCGGUCUUAGUGAUCUGACGGUGCUGAGUGGAAAGGCCGUCACUCAACGGAUAAAAGUUACUCUAAGGAUAACAGGCUGAUCUCCCCCAAGAGUUCACAUCGACGGGGAGGUUUGGCACCUCGACGUCGGCUCAUCGCAUCCUGGGGCGGUAGUACGUCCCAAGGGUUGGGCUGUUCGCCCAUGAAAGCGGUACGCGAGCUGGGUUCAGAACGUCGUGAGACAGUUCGGUCCAUAUCCGGUGUAGGCGUUAGAAUAUUGAGAGGAGCCUUCUUUAGUACGAGAGGACCGAGAAGGACAUACCUCUGGUGUACCAGUUAUCGUGCCAACGGUAAACGCUGGGUAGCUAUGUAUGGAGAGGAUAACCGCUGAAAGCAUCUAAGUGGGAAGCCCACCUCAAGAUGAG